GGCUCGACUGCGGGAGAGACCGGAUUCUUCAUCCGGAGCCGAAGGCGCAACCGCCCCGGAAACGCUCAGGCAAAAGGACCGCAGUCAUACU
rnacentral:ncRNA from 2 species